GUGUUUUUUCUGAUGGUGUAAAAUAUUUUGAUUAGGGAUGUCCCAAUCACAAUUUUUCCUGCAAGUCAUUUGAUUUUGAUUUUUUUAGUGUUAUAUAUUAUUUGUACCCCUGACAGUAGAGUUAGUCACAAACCAAUAUUAAGCCCAAAAAAUAGAAAUAAUAAUAGUGAUUAAAAAAUACUGUAAUGUACCGUGAAAAUACUGUAAAAUACUGUGAUAUAUAUUUUUGGUCAUACCGCCCAGCACUAUUUAUCACUAAAGCCAAAAAUGAAAUGCAGUUCAUAAAUCUGCUAUAAACUCCUGUAUUUUUUUUUAUAUCACAAUAUAUAUUGCAAAAAUAUAUUUCCAGUAAUUUCCAGUACUGUGUUCCCAAGUUGGCAAAUUUCAGCAGUGGGUAAAUUGAUUUAUUCUCUAACGUAUCAAAAGUAAUCGGACAAAUGAUCUCAAAAGCUAUUUUAUGGACUCCAUGUGCUAUAAUCCCUUAUCAAUCUGCCAUCAGUUAAAUGAUUUGAUAGAAGACAGAAGCAAAAAGAAUGCAUUCUGACGUGUAAAGGGAUUUACUUUCUGCUCAGAUUGAACCAAAUGCAGCAAAACAUACUGCAAAAGCCAUCAAAGGUUUCUUUAAGGUAAAGUAGUGGAAUAUUGUGCUGUGGUCGAGUCAAUUACCAGAUCAAGCAUCUUUAUGUCAAUUGCUUACGGCAAAACUAAAGGCAGAAACAUCAACAACUGAAGAUGCUGCAGUAAAGACCUGACAAAUCAUCAUAAAGGAUGAAACCCAGUGUUUGGUGGUGAGGUUCAUGGGUUCCAGACUUCAGGCAGCCAUUGCCUGCAAAGUUUUCUCAAGAAAGUAUUAGAAAUAAACAUUUUAUUUAUGGUAAGUAACAAAUUAUUAAGUUAAUUUGUUCAAUUACUUUUGAGCCCCUAAAAUGAGGAGGCUUUGUAAAACAAUGGUUAGAAUUCAUAAACACUUUAUUUUAAGGAACACAAAUUAGGCACAUAUUAAUUUUAUUAUUUGCUUAAUAAAACCUUAAUUAGACAUUUAUAUAUGAUUUAUUCACUACGUAUUAGUCUUUAUUCUGUGUAAGUGUUAUUGGUGCUUAAUUAGUGGUCUGUUAUGUGGAAAUGAUUUAUAAUGGCUGUAUUAGUUCUUAUAGUGCACUAUAAACAGUUAUGUUAGCACCCUGUUAAGCAUUAACUAUUAGCUAAAUCUACAUGUUGUAAGUGUAUAAUUGGCCGCAAUUUGAUCUAUGUGAGUUUGGUAAGGUUAUGGCUGUGCUGGACUUUACUGAGUUCAUCAGGGCUUAAUAAGUCACCAAUAGACCAAGAAGUGUACCAUAUUCUAAAGUGAGGUUCUGUUCAUCACUAAUUAGACACUAAAAAGAACUGAAUAAAUAUUUUAUCAAUCAAUCCCCCUCACAAUGUAUUUAAUAAGGGGUUAAUAAGUCACUAAUAGACCAAGAAGUCUAUUUAUUCUCUAUUGAAUUCAAGCAGUUUUAUUUUCUGUUGGUUAAAGCUCUCAACUGUUAAAUUUAAAAUGUAGAUUGACUGACUGACUGGUCAAAUGUGCAGAUACCAAUAUAGCUAAAAUGGCAACUGUAACAGCAAUGGCAACAUAUGAACAUGACUUAUCAAUUAUUAUGUACCAUUUAUUACCACAUAUGUUGCAAUGUACUAUAUAUUGUACUUUAUAUUUUGAACAAUACACUUCACUAUGUAUUCAAGAAUAUAUUUUAAUAUUACUAUCAAUAAUACACAUACCAUCUAUUACCACACAUCACAAUUUAUUUUAUUAUAUAUUUAACAAUACACUUCACUAUAAAUUCAAGAAUAUAUACUACCAUAUACUACUAUAUGUAUAAUACAAAAACAGAUAAAGGUAUGCUUAAAGUUCAGAAAAACAUCAACAUUAAAGAGUUCCAUCAGUAGCACUCGUGCCGUCCCACUGGCUGUAAGCUUGUGCUUUUGCAGUCUUCCAACAACGGGCUGAGACAGUGAUGGUGCCUUCCUUCCCAGGUUUCAUCUUGUAACAAAGGAAGAAAAUGAGAAAUAAACAAACAAUGACCACCAGCAACACAAUGCUACUUAGUUACAAGUGGGUCAGAAUACUCUUAGAUUAAAAACAAGUUUCAGUAUUCGGAACCCAUUUGUAACAUGCCUAAUUUAAAGUUUAACUGUGAAAGUAAUUUACAGCUAAAUCCUUAAUACAAAAUAAAUUAGCAUAGCUAUUUCAUGGGAUGAAGUGAGAUAGCUAGAUUAGCUAAUUAAAACAUAUCUCAAAGCUAAUUUAGCUAGCUAACUAGUUAACUUAAUGCUAAAAUAGCUAAUUAUAACUUAUAAAUUAAAGCUAGGUUAGCUAGUAAUAAAUCCAAAAUUAAAGCUAGGUUAGCUAGUUAUAACCUAAAUUAAAGAUAGGUUAGCUAAUUAUAACUUAUACAUGAAUGCUAGGUUAGCUAGCAAUAAAUUAUAACUUAAAGCUAGAUUAGCUAGUUAAAUUAAAGGAAAGGUAGCUAGUUAAUUUAAAGAUAGACUAGCUAGUUAAAUUAAAGUUAGGUUAGCUAGUUAUACAUUAUAACUUAAAGCUAAGCUAGCUAGUUAAAUUAAAGCUAGGUUAGUUAGUUAAAUUAAAGCUAGGUUAGCUAGUUAAAUUAAAGCUAGGUUAGCUAGUUAAAUUAAAGCUAGGUUGGCUAGUUAAAUUAAAGCUAGGCUAGCUAGUUAAAUUAAAGCUAGGCUAGCUAACCUUAGUUAAAUUUAAGCUAAACUAGCUAGUUAAAUUAAAUAUAGGCUAGCUAGUUAAAUUAAAGCUAGGUUAGCCAGUUAAAUUAAAGCUUGGCUAGCUAGUUAAAUUAAAGUUAGGUUAGUUAGUUAAAUUUAAGCUAGGUUAGCUAGUUAAAUUAAAGCUAGGUUGGCUAGUUAAAUUAAAGCUAGGCUAGCUAGUUAAAUUAAAGCUAGGCUAGCUAGUUAAAUUUAAGCUAAACUAGCUAGUUAAAUUAAAUAUAGGCUAGCUAGUUAAAUUAAAGCUAGGUUAGCCAGUUAAAUUAAAGCUUGGCUAGCUAGUUAAAUUAAAGUUAGGUUAGUUAGUUAAAUUAAAGCUAGGUUAGCUAGUUAAAUUAAAGCUAGGUUGGCUAGUUAAAUUAAAGCUAGGCUAGCUAGUUAAAUUAAAGCUAGGCUAGCUAGUUAAAUUAAAGCUAGGCUAGCUAACCUUAGUUAAAUUUAAGCUAAACUAGCUAGUUAAAUUAAAUAUAGGCUAGCUAGUUAAAUUAAAGCUAGGUUAGCCAGUUAAAUUAAAGCUUGGCUAGCUAGUUAAAUUAAAGUUAGGUUAGUUAGUUAAAUUUAAGCUAGGUUAGCUAGUUAAAUUAAAGCUAGGUUAGCUAGUUAAAUUAAAGCUAGGUUGGCUAGUUAAAUUAAAGCUAGGCUAGCUAGUUAAAUUAAAGCUAGGUUAGUUAGUUAAAUUAAAGCUAGGUUAGCUAGUUAAAUUAAAGCUAGGUUGGCUAGUUAAAUUAAAGCUAGGCUAGUUAGUUAAAUUAAAGCUAGGCUAGCUAACCUUAGUUAAAUUAAAGCUAAGCUAGCUAGUUAAAUUAAACCUAGGUUAGCUAGUUAAAUUAAAGCUAGGUUAGCUAACCUUAGUUAAAUUAAAACUAGGCUAGCUAGUUAAAAUAAAACUAGGCUAGAUAAUUAAAUUAAAGCUAGGUUAUCUAUUUAAAUUAAAGCUAGGUUAGCUAACCUUAGUUAAAUUAAAGCUAGGCUAGCUAGUUAAAUUAAAUCUAGGCUAGCCAGUUAAAUUAGCUAAGUUAAGUUAUCUAGUUAAACUAAAGCUAAGGUAGCUAGUUAUAACUCACAACUUAAAUUGUGUAGACUAAGCAGUUUACACCUCACUAUACUAAGCAGAAGGUACACCUCACUAUAAUUUUUAAAUUGCUAAAAAAAAAAAAG